GUAAUAACAGUAAUAACUAUAUUAUAUAACUAUAUUAUAUAACUAUAAGCUCUAUAAAUGUUUGUUUCAUUUCACUCUAGACAUCCAAAAGGACAAGCAUUGAGGCAUAGAAAGUAGUCUUGAAUUCUCCAUCUACAUCAAUAGUACCAUCUAGCAGCUAUCUAUAUAAGAAUUAUGUGGCUGAAAUCAACUGUUCACUUUGCUAGGAUUGCUGCUCAGUCAAGUGGCUAUUAGCAGAAAUGAGUUACCUGCUACUGCUUCUACUGAAAAGGACAUCUUGAUUAUGGUGCCUGCCCUGACUGCCCAAAUCCUGCAGGAGAGGUCAUGGAGACCAGAAGUUGCAUGUUCAGUCCCUGAGCCCUGCAGGGCUAGAAGUGGUGUGCAACCCCUAAGCACACUGUCGGAGAUGUCUGACCUUCACCCUCUCUCCACUACCUGGAGUCCUGCAUUCAAGAAGGUGGAGUCUCUUUGUUCCCAGAGCUUGCUGCCUACCUGGUUGCUAGUACAGCCACUGCUCAGAACCCGCAACCAGGGGAAGAAUUGAUACUUGUUUGUCUGAUAUCCAAGUUGUCACAUUGCCAUGGGUAUUGCAAUUGGGUUGGGAGUCACUCUAUUCAGGGAUCAGUCACAAAGUCGGAUCAGGCUCUUACACAAACCCAUGCAAUCCUAUCUCUGCUCUGACAUCUCAGUAAGUCUCACAAUCAUGUCUGCGCACAUCAUGGUAACAACUUGCUGUUUGAGUUGGAGAAACCAAUGAUUAAAUGAGAUGUUUUGAUUUUGUACUCUUUUCAGUGACCUCUAACCCCCACCAUCAUUUUUCUUGUCACCAUGAAGAACUUACAUUUUCUUUUCCUUUUUCUUUUGGUUAACCAUUUUUGCUAGCUGUUGCAAAGAGGGACAAAGGAAUCUGCUGUUCUGCUCUAAAAUUGCCUGGAAAAUGAAAUCAAAGCCCAGUUGGCUGUUUUUUUCUUGGUAGAGUUUAAUUCUUAUGCUUUCGUCAUGGCCCCAAAUGAAUGAUCC
rnacentral:lncRNA from 1 species